rnacentral:rRNA from 1 species
GGUUAAGCGACUAAGCGUACACGGUGGAUGCCCUGGCAGUCAGAGGCGAUGAAGGACGUGCUAAUCUGCGAAAAGCGUCGGUAAGGUGAUAUGAACCGUUAUAGCCGGCGAUGUCCGAAUGGGGAAACCCAGUGCAAUUCGUUGCACUAUCGUUAACUGAAUACAUAGGUUAACGAGGCGAACCGGGGGAACUGAAACAUCUAAGUACCCCGAGGAAAAGAAAUCAACCGAGAUUCCCCCAGUAGCGGCGAGCGAACGGGGAGCAGCCCAGAGUCUGAAUCAGCUUGUGUGUUAGUGGAACGGUCUGGAAAGUCCGACGGUACAGGGUGAUAGUCCCGUACACCAAAAUGCACAGGCUGUGAACUCGAAGAGUAGGGCGGGACACGUGGUAUCCUGUCUGAAUAUGGGGGGACCAUCCUCCAAGGCUAAAUACUCCUGACUGACCGAUAGUGAACCAGUACCGUGAGGGAAAGGCGAAAAGAACCCCGGCGAGGGGAGUGAAAAAGAACCUGAAACCGUGUACGUACAAGCAGUGGGAGCACCUUCGGGUGUGACUGCGUACCUUUUGUAUAAUGGGUCAGCGACUUAUAUUCUGUAGCAAGGUUAACCGUAUAGGGGAGCCGCAGGGAAACCGAGUCUUAACUGGGCGUUAAGUUGCAGGGUAUAGACCCGAAACCCGGUGAUCUAGCCAUGGGCAGGUUGAAGGUUGGGUAACACUAACUGGAGGACCGAACCGACUAAUGUUGAAAAAUUAGCGGAUGACUUGUGGCUGGGGGUGAAAGGCCAAUCAAACCGGGAGAUAGCUGGUUCUCCCCGAAAGCUAUUUAGGUAGCGCCUCGUGAAUUCAUCUUCGGGGGUAGAGCACUGUUUCGGCUAGGGGGUCAUCCCGACUUACCAACCCGAUGCAAACUACGAAUACCGAAGAAUGUUAUCACGGGAGACACACGGCGGGUGCUAACGUCCGUCGUGAAGAGGGAAACAACCCAGACCGCCAGCUAAGGUCCCAAAGUCAUGGUUAAGUGGGAAACGAUGUGGGAAGGCACAGACAGCCAGGAUGUUGGCUUAGAAGCAGCCAUCAUUUAAAGAAAGCGUAAUAGCUCACUGGUCGAGUCGGCCUGCGCGGAAGAUGUAACGGGGCUAAACCAUGCACCGAAGCUGCGGCAGCGACACUAUGUGUUGUUGGGUAGGGGAGCGUUCUGUAAGCCUGCGAAGGUGUGCUGUGAGGCAUGCUGGAGGUAUCAGAAGUGCGAAUGCUGACAUAAGUAACGAUAAAGCGGGUGAAAAGCCCGCUCGCCGGAAGACCAAGGGUUCCUGUCCAACGUUAAUCGGGGCAGGGUGAGUCGGCCCCUAAGGCGAGGCCGAAAGGCGUAGUCGAUGGGAAACAGGUUAAUAUUCCUGUACUUGGUGUUACUGCGAAGGGGGGACGGAGAAGGCUAUGUUAGCCGGGCGACGGUUGUCCCGGUUUAAGCAUGUAGGCUGGUUAUCCAGGCAAAUCCGGAUAAUCAAGGCUGAGGUGUGAUGACGAGGCACUACGGUGCUGAAGUAACAAAUGCCCUGCUUCCAGGAAAAGCCUCUAAGCAUCAGGUAACAUCAAAUCGUACCCCAAACCGACACAGGUGGUCAGGUAGAGAAUACCAAGGCGCUUGAGAGAACUCGGGUGAAGGAACUAGGCAAAAUGGUGCCGUAACUUCGGGAGAAGGCACGCUGGUGUGUAGGUGAAGCCCCUGCGGGUGGAGCUGAGACCAGUCGAAGAUACCAGCUGGCUGCAACUGUUUAUUAAAAACACAGCACUGUGCAAACACGAAAGUGGACGUAUACGGUGUGACGCCUGCCCGGUGCCGGAAGGUUAAUUGAUGGGGUUAUCCGUAAGGAGAAGCUCUUGAUCGAAGCCCCGGUAAACGGCGGCCGUAACUAUAACGGUCCUAAGGUAGCGAAAUUCCUUGUCGGGUAAGUUCCGACCUGCACGAAUGGCGUAAUGAUGGCCAGGCUGUCUCCACCCGAGACUCAGUGAAAUUGAACUCGCUGUGAAGAUGCAGUGUACCCGCGGCAAGACGGAAAGACCCCGUGAACCUUUACUAUAGCUUGACACUGAACAUUGAGCCUUGAUGUGUAGGAUAGGUGGGAGGCUUUGAAGCGUGGACGCCAGUCUGCGUGGAGCCAACCUUGAAAUACCACCCUUUAAUGUUUGAUGUUCUAACGUUGGCCCCUGACCGGGGUUGCGGACAGUGUCUGGUGGGUAGUUUGACUGGGGCGGUCUCCUCCCAAAGCGUAACGGAGGAGCACGAAGGUUAGCUAAUCCUGGUCGGACAUCAGGAGGUUAGUGCAAUGGCAUAAGCUAGCUUGACUGCGAGCGUGACGGCGCGAGCAGGUGCGAAAGCAGGUCAUAGUGAUCCGGUGGUUCUGAAUGGAAGGGCCAUCGCUCAACGGAUAAAAGGUACUCCGGGGAUAACAGGCUGAUACCGCCCAAGAGUUCAUAUCGACGGCGGUGUUUGGCACCUCGAUGUCGGCUCAUCACAUCCUGGGGCUGAAGUAGGUCCCAAGGGUAUGGCUGUUCGCCAUUUAAAGUGGUACGCGAGCUGGGUUUAGAACGUCGUGAGACAGUUCGGUCCCUAUCUGCCGUGGGCGCUGGAGAAUUGAGGGGGGCUGCUCCUAGUACGAGAGGACCGGAGUGGACGCAUCACUGGUGUUCGGGUUGUCAUGCCAAUGGCACUGCCCGGUAGCUAAAUGCGGAAGAGAUAAGUGCUGAAAGCAUCUAAGCACGAAACUUGCCCCGAGAUGAGUUCUCCCUGAGACUUUAAGUCUCCUGAAGGAACGUUAAAGACGAUGACGUUGAUAGGCCGGGUGUGUAAGCGCAGCGAUGCGUUGAGCUAACCGGUACUAAUGAACCGUGAGGCUUAACCUU